rnacentral:rRNA from 1 species
CUGGCUCAGAGCGAACGCUGGCGGCAGGCUUAACACAUGCAAGUCGAGCGGGCGUAGCAAUACGUCAGCGGCAGACGGGUGAGUAACGCGUGGGAACGUACCUUUUGGUUCGGAACAACACAGGGAAACUUGUGCUAAUACCGGAUAAGCCCUUACGGGGAAAGAUUUAUCGCCGAAAGAUCGGCCCGCGUCUGAUUAGCUAGUUGGUGAGGUAAUGGCUCACCAAGGCGACGAUCAGUAGCUGGUCUGAGAGGAUGAUCAGCCACAUUGGGACUGAGACACGGCCCAAACUCCUACGGGAGGCAGCAGUGGGGAAUAUUGGACAAUGGGGGCAACCCUGAUCCAGCCAUGCCGCGUGAGUGAUGAAGGCCCUAGGGUUGUAAAGC